rnacentral:misc_RNA from 1 species
GAAAUGCGAUAAGUAGUGUGAAUUGCAGAAUUUAGCGAAUCAUCGAAUCUUUGAACGCACAUUGCGCCCCUUGGUAUUCCAUGGUGCAUGCCUGUUCGAGCGUCAUUUCAACCCUCAAGCACUGCUUGGUGUUGGGCGUUUGUCCCGCCUACGCGCGUGGACUCGCCUCAAAGUCAUUGGCGGCUGUUCCCCUUCGGCUCGUAAGCGCAGCACAGUCGGCGCCCGGAGCUCUGGUGGGAUGGCGUCCAGCAAGCUAUAUUUUCAGGCUUGACCUCGGAUCAGGUAGGGAUACCUGCUGAACUUAAGC